UAGGAGGCAUGAAGAAAGAAAAGAAGAAGAAAAAGGAAGGAAAUAUCCUCUGAAAACCUUAAUAUGCUACCAAAGCUCUUACAGGGCAAGGACUGUGCAAGUUUUCAUGUUUACAUCCUUCCUAGAAGAAUGACUUCCACAUAAGCGUCUAGAGCAAUGAUGCUCACAUUGUACUUGCUAAAUAAGCACAUUUUGCCUCAUUAUGGGAUGACUGACUUUGAUAAACUUGGCUCUUCACAGCAAUGCAAGAAUCUAAGACAACUUCA